AGUGAACGCUGGCGGUAGGCCUAACACAUGCAAGUCGAACGGCAGCACAGUAAGAGCUUGCUCUUACGGGUGGCGAGUGGCGGACGGGUGAGGAAUACAUCGGAAUCUACUUUUUCGUGGGGGAUAACGUAGGGAAACUUACGCUAAUACCGCAUACGACCUACGGGUGAAAGCAGGGGAUCUUCGGACCUUGCGCGAUUGAAUGAGCCGAUGUCGGAUUAGCUAGUUGGCGGGGUAAAGGCCCACCAAGGCGACGAUCCGUAGCUGGUCUGAGAGGAUGAUCAGCCAAAAUGGAACUGAGACACGGCCCAGACUCCUAGGGGAGGCAGCGGUGGGGAAUAUUGGAAAAUGGGCGAAAGCCUGAUCCAGCCAACCCGGGUGGGUGAAGAAGGCCUUGGGGUUGUAAAGCCCUUUUGUGGGGAAAAAAAAGCAGCAGGUUAAUACCCCGCUGUUCUGACGGUACCAAAAGAAUAAGCACCGGCUAACUUCGU
rnacentral:rRNA from 1 species